rnacentral:rRNA from 1 species
CUUAUCACAUGCAAGUCGAGCGGAAAGGCCCUUCGGGGUACUCGAGCGGCGAACGGGUGAGUAACACGUGAGUAACCUGCCCCCGACUCUGGGAUAAGCCCGGGAAACUGGGUCUAAUACCGGAUAUGACACCUCCUCGCAUGGGGUGGGUGUGGAAAGUUUUUCGGUUGGGGAUGGACUCGCGGCCUAUCAGCUUGUUGGUGGGGUAAUGGCCUACCAAGGCGACGACGGGUAGCCGGCCUGAGAGGGCGACCGGCCACACUGGGACUGAGACACGGCCCAGACUCCUACGGGAGGCAGCAGUGGGGAAUAUUGCGCAAUGGGCGAAAGCCUGACGCAGCGACGCCGCGUGGGGGAUGACGGCCUUCGGGUUGUAAACCUCUUUCAGCAGGGACGAAGUUGACGUGUACCUGCAGAAGAAGCGCCGGCUAACUACGUGCCAGCAGCCGCGGUAAUACGUAGGGCGCAAGCGUUGUCCGGAAUUAUUGGGCGUAAGGGGCUCGUAGGUGGCUUGUCACGUCGGGUGUGAAAGCUUGGGGCUUAACUCCAGGUCUGCAUUCGAUACGGGCUGGCUAGAGGUAGGUAGGGGAGAACGGAAUUCCUGGUGUAGCGGUGAAAUGCGCAGAUAUCAGGAGGAACACCGGUGGCGAAGGCGGUUCUCUGGGCCUUACCUGACGCUGAGGAGCGAAAGCGUGGGGAGCGAACAGGAUUAGAUACCCUGGUAGUCCACGCUGUAAACGUUGGGCGCUAGGUGUGGGGACCUUCCACGGUUUCCGCGCCGUAGCUAACGCAUUAAGCGCCCCGCCUGGGGAGUACGGCCGCAAGGCUAAAACUCAAAGGAAUUGACGGGGACCCGCACAAGCGGCGGAGCAUGUUGCUUAAUUCGACGCAACGCGAAGAACCUUACCAAGGCUUGACAUUGCCCGGAAACACUCAGAGAUGGGUGCCUCUUCGGAUCGGGUGACAGGUGGUGCAUGGCUGCCGUCAGCUCGUGUCGUGAGAUGUUGGGUUAAGUCCCGCAACGAGCGCAACCCUUGUUCAAUGUUGCCAGCACGCUCCUUCGGGGGUGGUGGGGACUCAUUGGAGACUGCCGGGGUCAACUCGGAGGAAGGUGGGGAUGACGUCAAGUCAUCAUGCCCCUUAUGUCUUGGGCUGCAAACAUGCUACAAUGGCCGGUACAGAGGGCUGCGAUACCGCAAGGUGGAGCGAAUCCCUAAAAGCCGGUCUCAGUUCGGAUUGGGGUCUGCAACUCGACCCCAUGAAGUCGGAGUCGCUAGUAAUCGCAGAUCAGCAACGCUGCGGUGAAUACGUUCCCGGGCCUUGUACACACCGCCCGUCACGUCACGAAAGUCGGCAACACCCGAAGCCCGUGGCCCAACCAGCUUGCUGGGGGGAGCGGUCGAAGGUGGGGCUGGCGAUUGGGAUGAAGUCGUAACAAGGUAGCCGUACCGGAAGGUGCGGCUG